CUGGCGUCUCCCCAGCUAGGCCGGGCGGGUGCGGUGAUUCCCCCGCGGCUGCAGGUGGCGCUGUAGGCGCGCGUCAAACGGCUCUCACAGGGUCAUAGCCGAGACAGCUGGCAGAAGGGAGGGAGAAGUAGCUUCCUUUACGAACCCCAAGGGGCAGCUGACCACGCUGCCCCUGUGGAUAGCAGAAAGAGCUGCAGCAGGAACUUCAGGAGAAGCAAGCUGGAAAGGCAGGAUGGCCUCACCCGCAGUCCUCAGGUGCUUGAUCUAUCCAGAGACCUGCCCCUGAGAGCCACACUGGAGCAGCUGGAGAGGCAGCGAUAGGAUGGAACACAGUGGGGGAGUUUUUGUCCUGGGUGCUCUGGGCUCUGCUGCAUACACCAGCAGAAGUGACAUUGUCAUCUCCAUUGUAAAGUGAGGGCAUCAGAGGCACAAGGGAUGUUGACAUCUGAAAUUACAGAGUCUUUGCACCUACAAGAUAUUUAUUUUUUGAAACUUUGCAUUGUGCUGAUUAAAGGCUCAGUUGUAUUAAACUGGCACCUGUAGCAUUGCUUUUUCUUAAGUUUCAUGGAAGGCAGUGGAGCUGUUGCAUCUCCUGCUACACUGCAACCAAAUACUGGACAGUGAGGAGGCUCCCAAUUCUUAUAUCAUGAUGGUUUUAGGGUCUUCUGUGGGAACCUUCUGCAGACAUCUGAGACUGAGUUCAUGGUGCUAUGCUGAGUGCAUCAGUCUGGUCUGUGUUAGAACACUGACUUCAAUGCAAAGAAAUGUGUUGAUUCCAAUUUUGUUCUUGAAAAGAAUAAAGGGCAAUAUAUAGGUAAUCUACUGGGAAAUUACUGUUUUUAAGCUGCUAUGAAGAUCUGUGAUCAAUAAGAGAUAGAAUAAAUGACCUAUAAUGCCCCUAUGUAGUAAUAGUUAUGACCUUGUAAUUUAGUACAGACUUGUAGCAUUUAAUUUUUUGGGUUUUUGACUGCUCAAUGAGCACCUAAAAAUGUGCAGUGGGUAAAUAUUUAUAUCAGACUUCAUUCACUUGAGAUCAUCAAUAGAUUACUUUUUAUUUUCUUUAGCAGAUCUAAAAAUCAAAAUAACCUACAUGUGCUGCUAAUCUAAUUUGAUUGCAGCCUGUAAACUAUGUGUUUUAGAGAUCCCAAUAAUCAGGUGGCUGUUUCUGAGUCUGUUUUUCUCUUUAGUUUUGGAAAAAAGUAUUUACAUGGAAGGCUAAUGAUACUAAA